CCUACGGGAGGCUGCAGUGGGGAAUAUUGCACAAUGGGGGAAACCCUGAUGCAGCAACGCCGCGUGAGUGAAGAAGUCUUUCGGUAUGUAAAGCUCUAUCAGCAGGGAAGAAGAUCACGGUACCUGAUUAACAAUCCACGGCUAACUACGUGCCAGCAGCCGCGGUAAUACGGAGGGGGCAAGCGUUAUCCGGAUUUACUGGGUGUAAGGGGAGCGCAGACGGCAGGGCAAGUCUGGAGUGAAAGCCCGGGGCCCAACCCCGGAACUGCUCUGGAAACUGUGGGGCUAGAGUACGGGAGGGGCAGGCGGAAUUCCUAGUGUAGCGGUGAAAUGCGUAGAUAUUAGGAGGAACACCAGUGGCGAAGGCAGCCUGCUGGAGAGUAACUGACGUUGAGGCUCGAAAGCGUGGGGAGCAAACAGGAUUAGAUACCCGGGUAGUC
rnacentral:rRNA from 1 species